GGUUUAAUGGUGCAGUGGUGCACGCCUGCGAAAGUCGCCUGCCAAGUAUGGUUAUAUCAGCAGCAAUCGCCUGUUCGACUCGGGCUUGAACCA